AAGAACAUGGUGAAAUAGCUUUUUCCAAUGAAAGUUUAUGCUAUAUUGUGAUGAUUAUUCUAAACUUUGUUUUUCUUUCCCUUCGUAUCGCAGUGAGGUUUGGAGCGCACAUUUUAAGAAGAAGCGACAUUUUCAGUUCAAAAAACAACGAAAUCAACGGUCGGCAAUACAACGAUUAGUACGAGAACCUGUAUUCUGGCAUGGCGUUGAAAUUUAAUUACAUAAUGGAAAGUGAGGAGCAACGUUAACGAAAUCAUUCGUGCGGUGGUGCAGAAAAUGUACUGAAUACACAAUGUUCUAGAAUAUUCAUAUUGUUUGGCGGCAGAACAAAAGAUGAAUACAUAAUUUAAUGGAGAAAUGCCAAAAGAUUGAUGUGAAGAUUUUAGGGGACAAGUAAUAAUUCGCACGGAAUAGCUUUGGUGUUCCGUAGGCGCGAUAAAAUUCUUACCGUAUUAUUCUGUGUAUAACGACCCGCUUUUAGUUCACAAAUUAUCAAAGUCCGAUUAAGUGGGUCGUUAUACACAGGUAGUAACUUUUCCAUUCGAUUCUAGAGUGGAGGUUAAAACACGUACCACAUUGUUACAACUGAUGAAAUGUAGAAAACAAAUUUUUUCAAUUUUUUUCAUAAACAUAAAAAAAUGGUUUUUGGGGGUCGUUAUACACUGAAAAAUACGGUACUUUGCUAUAUUGACAAUGAAGGAAAAAUUGUAAACAGCGGUUGGCUGGUAUGUUGCAAUGUUUCGUUUUGUUAGAAAUAUGUGCAAUGUCCGCGUGUGGGGGUCCGCGACAGCCGAGCGGUAGCGCUGGUUAGAAAUUCGGCCCAUGAGCGCCGGGGCUAACCACCUCGACGGCGUGGGUUCGAAUCCCAACCGAGACCGGACCCUCCCCUGUACGAGAGGACUGACUAUCCACGUACAACAGGGAAACAAGUCUCGUAAGCCCUUAACGGGGGCAGGCAUGACCAAGAGUUCGUUACGCCAAGAAGAAGAAGAAGAAGAUGUGCAAUGUGAUGUUCAUAAUUUGAUUUGAAUUUUCAAUGACGGCAAAUUUCCUUCCAAAUAAUGUGUUUAACCGAAUAUUAUGGCGUACUAUUGGUACUUAUCAAAUGCUGCAUUAUAACUAGGCAUCGUGAUGAGGUUGGGUUUGUGAUGUGACGUGUUGUUGAUGUUGGAUAGUGAAUGUGUACUAACGGCAAGGGAUAAUUGCUACGGUAUGUGCAACGGUAAGAACAUCACUACUGCAGUCCAAGUUUCCACGUUCGAGCCCACGAUGUGCACUGGCGUGUUCUUUUUAAAAAGUUUGAUAAAAAGAUCUAAGGAUAUUUUAUUCACUGCAUAACAUAUACAGUGGACAAUUAAGGACGAUGUGGAUGACGUAAUUUGUAUACAGACGAAGAACAAUGAUGUGGAUGACGUAAUUUGCAAAUAGACGAAGAGCAACCUUUCGUUGCGCAGUGCCUUUGUCUCAAACAUUGGAAAUCGGAUACACUGGAAUGACAACUGACACCCUGGAGCUUCAUUCCUGAUGCACUGCUGCAGCAGGUCUCAGGCGGCAAUAACGCGAGUGCAGGCGGUGAACAUGUGUUCCAGGGUGUCACACUUAAUACAGAACAUGCAGGAAGCCGAUGGCGUGCGUCCCAUACGCAAUAGCAAAUCUCCGUCCGGGAUCUUGCCAUUCACAACAAGGUAUAGUACGGACCGCUGCUCCGAUGAAAGUUUUGUGUAGUGGAUGUGCUUCCACGCCCUGUUUCAGUUCAGGUUCGGUAAUUGUUCCUGUAUAUUCACGGUGGGUAACCGUUCCUUUAGCGUCUUGCGGAACGCCUUGGUGAACGAGUGUUGCUCGAGCGUGGCGGGAACGUAGGCGAGUUGCUGAAAAGCGCUCCGAAGGCACGUAUACGCCGUUUGGAUCGCCGUGAUGUCAGGCGAGUUAUCGGUAUAUGAUGAGCACCAAACGGCAUGCACUCCUGCUCUACUACGUACCGGUUGGUCAUCAAGGCUAUAGCUGCUACGGCUGGGAUGUGUAGGUUGAGUCCCCCACGAUUUCGAGGCAACGCCAGUUGGAGCGCGUCCAUUGUGCCUGAGCCGACGACCGACGCAACAAAACACAGCUUCGGAAACAACACACCAGCCGACGAAACUGGUUGGUCACCAGAUCCCAGUUGUGGCCCGGUGCUUCCCAGAUGUUAUUGGAAAACAGAAUUCCUAGCAACCGCAGCCGCUCCACUGUGUGUAGCCAUGGUAAGCAGAGCCGGUUCUCCUCCGAUACCGCUCCUAUGUCCAGAGCCAGAGAUUUACGGACAUUCGUAGUUUGGCACCAGAGCAGACGCCAAAAGCAUCGAUCGCUGCCUUCACUCGCUCAAUUUUGGAAGGAGAGGUACUCAUCCACCACUGAGACAUCCUCAGCAUAAUCUUUGACCAGGUCAUCCGGAUCACAGCAAAUACCUUCGGGUCUAGUGAUGAGGGGAUGAAGGUAAAGGAUAAACAAGUGCAUUGAUAAGGGAUCCCCUUGUCGCACGGAACUUUGGAUGGGAAAGGAAGAAAAUAGGGAGCCGCUAUUCAUCAACACGGUCAAACGCCUGCGGAAGAUUAAAGAAAACGAGCUUUCCACGCUUUCUCCCUCGCUUUAGAUGUAUGAUUAUCACCUUAACAGUACUCUCUGGCUCUCUAAGAAAUAUAAAUGCGGGCUUGUU